rnacentral:rRNA from 1 species
UGAGGAACAUGACCUUCGGCGGGGGAUAGCCGGCCCAACGGCCGGGUAACACCGCGUACGACCUUUCGGGGAUAUCCCCGGGUGGUGAAAGCAGCAAUGCGCCGAUGGAGUGCCUCGCGGCCUAUCAGCUAGUUGGUGGGGUAACGGCUCACCAAGGCAACGACGGGUAGCUGGUCUGAGAGGAUGGCCAGCCACAUUGGGACUGAGACACGGCCCAGACUCCUACGGGGAGCAG